rnacentral:rRNA from 1 species
CAUAGACAUAAUACCACCAACAACCUGAAACAGAUCCCAUCUUGUCUGAUUUUGGAAGCUAAGGAGGAUCAGGCAUGGUGAGCACUUGGAUGGGACACCAGCUGGGAAUCCCAGGGAAGGCUAGGA